ACGGCUCAGUAACACGUGGAUAACCUGCCCUGCGGUGGGAAAUAACCCCGGGAAACUGGGGAUAAUGUCCCAUAGGCUACGGAUGCUGGAAUGCUCUGUAGCUCAAAGAUUUAUCGCCACAGGAUGGGUCUGCGGCCGAUUAGGUAGUUGUUGGGGUAACGGCCCAACAAGCCUUUGAUCGGUACGGGUUGUGGGAGCAAGAGCCCGGAGAUGGAUUCUGAGACACGAAUCCAGGCCCUACGGGGCGCAGCAGGCGCGAAAACUUUACAAUGCGGGAAACCGUGAUAAGGGAACUCCGAGUGUCCGUAAAUGCGGACUGUCCGUAUGUUUAAAAAGCAUGCGAAGAAAGGGCCGGGCAAGACCGGUGCCAGCCGCCGCGGUAAUACCGGCGGCUCGAGUGGUGGCCACUAUUACUGGGCUUAAAGCGUUCGUAGCUGGGUUGUUAAGUCUCUUGGGAAAUCUACCGGCUUAACCGAUAGGCGUCCAAGGGAUACUGGCAAUCUAGGGACCGGGAGAGGUGAGGGGUACUUCAGGGGUAGGAGUGAAAUCCUGUAAUCCUUGGGGGACCACCUGUGGCGUAGGCGCCUCACCAGAACGGCUCCGACAGUGAGGGACGAAAGCUGGGGGAGCAAACCGGAUUAGAUACCCGGGUAGUCCCAGCCGUAAACGAUGCGCGUUAGGUGUAUCGAUGACCACGAGUCAUCGAGGUGCCGAAGGGAAACCGUGAAACGCGCCGCCUGGGAAGUACGGUCGCAAGGCUGAAACUUAAAGGAAUUGGCGGGGGAGCAC
rnacentral:rRNA from 1 species